rnacentral:rRNA from 1 species
UACGUAGGGCGCAAGCGUUAUCCGGAAUUAUUGGGCGUAAAGAGCUCGUAGGCGGUUUGUCGCGUCUGCCGUGAAAGUCCGGGGCUCAACUCCGGAUCUGCGGUGGGUACGGGCAGACUAGAGUGUGGUAGGGGAGACUGGAAUUCCUGGUGUAGCGGUGAAAUGCGCAGAUAUCAGGAGGAACACCGAUGGCGAAGGCAGGUCUCUGGGCCACUACUGACGCUCAUGCACGAAAGCGUGGGGAGCAAACAGG